rnacentral:rRNA from 1 species
UACGAGGGGGGCAAGCGUUAAUCGGAAUUACUGGGCGUAAAGCGUGCGCAGGCGGUUGUGCAAGACAGAUGUGAAAUCCCCGGGCUUAACCUGGGAAUUGCAUUUGUGACUGCACGGCUAGAGUGUGUCAGAGGGGGGUAGAAUUCCACGUGUAGCAGUGAAAUGCGUAGAUAUGUGGAGGAAUACCGAUGGCGAAGGCAGCCCCCUGGGAUAACACUGACGCUCAUGCACGAAAGCGUGGGGAGCAAACAGG